rnacentral:snRNA from 1 species
AGCUGCGGGGUGGACACAAAGCGAACUAUUCUUUCACCUUUUACUAGAGAAUACCGUGUGCCCGCAACAUAAAAGCAGCAUAUCCUCUCUUUGGAGGGUCUUUUCCUUUAGAGGAAU